rnacentral:rRNA from 1 species
AUGGCCUUUCCGAUGCUGGUUUCAUCCAUGUGGCAACUCACCCUUGAUGAGCUUAAAAACCCCACCAAGAAGUUGAAGACAAAAUAUGCCUCAAGCUCCCAACAAUCUAUUGGAUUGGAUGAUUAUGAUGAGCAAAGUGAAGGAGCGGACGGGCAAGCAACCAUGCCAAAGAGGAACCGACAUGUGAUGGAAACAAGUGGGACAAGGAGAAGGACGUGUGUGACGCCGCAGCAAGCAAAGUGUUUGCCACAUGGACGAACAUUUUUUUCCGUCAAGGAGAAGAAGAAGGAGAGGUACCUGCUCUUCCUGUAUGUGCAAAGGGAGGGGAUGUGA